AGGGUUUGAUCAUGGCUCAGAACGUACGCUGGCGGCACGCCUAAUACAUGCAAGUCGAACGAAGUAGCAAUACUUAGUGGCAGACGGGUGAGUAAUAUGUAGGUAUCUUCCCAUUGGUGAGGAAUAACACGAGGAAACUUGUGCUAAUACCUCAUAAGUCUUUACGGAGAAAGCUUUAUGCGCCGAUGGAUGAGCCUGCACUUGAUUAGUUUGUUGGUAGGGUAAUGGCCUACCAAGACAAUGAUCAAUAGCUGAUUUGAGAGGAUGAUCAGCCACAUUGGGACUGAGACACGGCCCAAACUCCUACGGGAGGCAGCAGUAGGGAAUCUUGCACAAUGGGGGAAACCCUGAUGCAGCGAUGCCAUGCCGCGUGAGUGAAGAAGGGCUUUGGGUUGUAAAGCUCUUUCGUCGGGGAAGAAAAUGACUGUACCCGAAUAAGAAGGUCCGGCUAACUUCGUGCCAGCAGCCGCGGUAAUACGAAGGGACCUAGCGUAGUUCGGAAUUACUGGGCUUAAAGAGUUCGUAGGUGGUUAAAAAAGUUGGUGGUGAAAUCCCAGAGCUUAACUCUGGAACUGCCAUCAAAACUUUUUAGCUAGAGUAUGAUAGAGGAAAGCAGAAUUUCUAGUGUAGAGGUGAAAUUCGUAGAUAUUAGAAAGAAUACCGAUUGCGAAGGCAGCUUUCUGGAUCAUUACUGACACUGAGGAACGAAAGCAUGGGUAGCGAAGAGGAUUAGAUACCCUCGUAGUCCAUGCCGUAAACGAUGUGUGUUAGACGUUGGAAAUUUAUUUUCUGUGUCGCAGCGAAAGCAAUAAACACACCGCCUGGGGAGUACGACCGCAAGGUUAAAACUCAAAUGAAUUGACGGGGACCCGCACAAGUAGUGGAGCAUGUGGUUUAAUUCGAAGAUACGCGCAGAACCUUACCAACACUUGACAUGUUCGUCGCGACUUUAAGAGAUUAAAGUUUUCGGUUCGGCCGGACGAAACACAGGUGCUGCAUGGCUGUCGUCAGCUCGUGUCGUGAGAUGUUGGGUUAAGUCCCGCAACGAGCGCAACCCUCACUUUUAGUUGCCAUCAUUCAGUUGGGCACUCUGAAAGAACUGCCAGUGAUAAGCUGGAGGAAGGUGGGGAUGACGUCAAGUCCUCAUGGCCCUUACGUGUUGGGCUACACACGUGCUACAAUGGCAUUUACAAUAGGAAGCAAGACGGCGACGUUUAGCAAAUCCUAAAAAAAUGCCUCAGUUCGGAUUGUACUCUGCAACUCGAGUACAUGAAGCUGGAAUUACUAGUAAUCGCGGAUCAGCGCGCCGCGGUGAAUACGUUCCCGGGUCUUGUACACACCGCCCGUCACACCAUGGGAGUUGGUUCUACCUUAAGGCAAAGUUUAAUACCUUUGACCACGGUAUAGUCAGCGACUGGGGUGAAGUCAUAACAAGGUAGCCGUA
rnacentral:rRNA from 1 species